GAUGAACGCUAGCGGCAGGCUUAACACAUGCAAGUCGAGGGGUAUGGUUCUUCGGAACCAGAGACCGGCGCACGGGUGCGUAACGCGUAUGCAACCUACCUUGAACAGGGGGAUAGCCCAGAGAAAUUUGGAUUAAUACCCCAUGGUAUUAUCGGAUGGCAUCAUUUGAUAAUUAAAGUUCCAACGGUUCAAGAUGGGCA
rnacentral:rRNA from 1 species